UACAGAGGGUGCGAGCGUUGUUCGGAAUUAUUGGGCGUAAAGGGCGCGUAGGCGGUGCGGUAAGUCACCUGUGAAAUCUCCUGGCUCAACUGGGAGCUUGCAGGCGAAACUGCCGUGCUGGAGUGUGGGAGAGGUGCGUGGAAUUCCUGGUGUAGCGGUGAAAUGCGUAGAUAUCAGGAGGAACACCUGUGGCGAAAGCGGCGCACUGGACCACAACUGACGCUGAGGAGCGAAAGCGUGGGGAGCGAACAGG
rnacentral:rRNA from 1 species